AGCUUUGCGCAGUGGCAGUAUCAUAGCCAAUGAGGUUUAUCCGAGGCGCGAUUAUUGCUAAUUAUUUCAUAAAUGACAUAUUAAAAUAAACUGUAUUCUUAAAUUAUAAUAGUUUUCCUAGUAUUGGUCAUACU